UUUUAACGCACCUAAAACCUGUAAUGCCGCGAAACGAGUGACUGUCAGAUUGGUAAAACGUGUUGUGUGUGUGUGAUAUCCCCGCCACGCUGAGGCCAAACACUGAACAGCAGUGCAGCAGGGGAGAUAGAGUGCCGUGUUGAGUCCCAGGUGUGUUUGUCUAAGCACACAGGCUGCACACUGGAGUGCAAGUGAAUUCAUUAUUUUCCAUCUAAAAGUGUAUUCUGAGUUCAUGUAAGAGUGGUUAUAAAAUAUAUUUUGUUCAUGAAUAUAUAUUUUUCUAAACUAAUGUAAUUUUCUGCAAGGUAGUGACAUAAGUUGAGUGGUGGAGCAAAUGUAUUUAUUUGUGUUGUAUUUCUAUUUUAUUUUAUUUAUUUAAGAAGCGAGCCACUACUGUUGUCUAUAGAUACUUCAUGUCUAGAGUUCAUUAGAUUCAGUUUUCUGUUGGAAAGCUUGAGAUGGAGUCAGGCUACUAUUAGCGUUAAUGUACUGUGAUAUUCCAGGUGGCCUAACUGCACCAUUGUUGUUUGCACUAUAGUAGACAGUUAGGAGCAAUGAACAAGUCAUCAUCAAGUUUUCAUCAGGAAAAUUGUUUCAGGAAAGUUGUUCAUAGGAGAAAUAUCUGAUUCUUUAUUGUUUUCCCUGUUGUGAAUUAAGUAUAAAACACAGGAAAAGUGAUAUUAUUUUGUUAUCAUUGUGAUUAUCUCAAACCCUCAAAAUUAGAGUUAACGCUGUUCUUUAUUGAGUGCAGUCGGGGAAAUA